GGUAAUGAUGCAGAGCCUGAUAUCUGUAGGAAAGAAAAUUUAUUAUGUAUCUGGAGCAUCCAAGAUGUUUAAAGAUUCAGUGGCUUAAUAUGUUGAUAGCCUCAAUGUGUCUCAGAUUAAAAGAAAAGUAAUGAUGGAAGCUGAUGUGGAAGGGAAGUAGGAUGCUGGGGACACAAAGCCAUGAUUUGGAGUAGAAUAGGGGAACUAGUGAUGUGUAAAACUAAUGUUGAAAAGAACUUUACUUUGGGAUGAUGGAAAAUACAGGAUAUUUGAAGAAUAAGGAACAUACAUCAAAGUUGCAGAGGAGAAAAAUAAUCUCUAGCGCAAAGCAACAGUCUUAUAAUGAACCCAUGACAUAAACGUGAAUUAGAAGGGAGCAGAGUUUGCACAGCAAAUGGAGGAGCAUAAUCAACCUGAUAUUUACUACAACGUAGACUUAAGAGGACUUUUAAUGUAACUUAGUAUUACUGAGGCAAGAACUGAAUCUGCUGAAGCAACAGGCAAAACUACUAACAGCGAAUCUCAUCUUUUAAUCAUUCGAUCUGCAAGCAUUUCAAGACUCAGCAAAUUGAGCUUCUCUGCUUCUCUUCUGGGAACUGCUAGAUAUUUUGAAACAAGUCAGUUUCAUAAACUGCAUAUUUAAGAGAAGCAAACACUGAUCACAUAGUUUGACUUGAUUUUUUUUUUUU